rnacentral:rRNA from 1 species
CCUACGGGGGGCAGCAGUGGGGAAUAUUGGACAAUGGGGGCGACCCUGAUCCAGCCAUGCCGCGUGUGUGAAGAAGGCCCUCGGGUUGUAAAGCACUUUCAGUGAGGAAGAACGCCUGGUGGUUAAUACCCAUCAGGAAAGACAUCACUCACAGAAGAAGCACCGGCUAACUCCGUGCCAGCAGCCGCGGUAAUACGGAGGGUGCGAGCGUUAAUCGGAAUUACUGGGCGUAAAGCGCGCGUAGGUGGCUUGAUAAGCCGGUUGUGAAAGCCCCGGGCUCAACCUGGGAACGGCAUCCGGAACUGUCAAGCUAGAGUGCAGGAGAGGAAGGUAGAAUUCCCGGUGUAGCGGUGAAAUGCGUAGAGAUCGGGAGGAAUACCAGUGGCGAAGGCGGCCUUCUGGACUGACACUGACACUGAGGUGCGAAAGCGUGGGUAGCAAACAGGAUUAGAUACCCGGGUAGUC